UUAUUUUGAUGGUCCCCUAUAGAUGAUCUACAGAUAGAUGAUCUACAGGGCGAAGCUCUGCCACUGCACUUGGGUGUUGCUGACCCUUGCGAAUUCCCCAAAUGUGUGAAUUUCUAGUGUAUGAUUUCUGGUAGUGGGGGACUGCAUUUGCGCUCCCCCCGA
ensembl:snRNA U1 U1 spliceosomal RNA